GAUGAACGCUGGCGGCGUGCCUAAUACAUGCAAGUCGAGCGAACAGACGAGGAGCUUGCUCCUCUGACGUUAGCGGCGGACGGGUGAGUAACACGUGGAUAACCUACCUAUAAGACUGGGAUAACUUCGGGAAACCGGAGCUAAUACCGGAUAAUAUAUUGAACCGCAUGGUUCAAUAGUGAAAGACGGUUUUGCUGUCACUUAUAGAUGGAUCCGCGCCGCAUUAGCUAGUUGGUAAGGUAACGGCUUACCAAGGCAACGAUGCGUAGCCGACCUGAGAGGGUGAUCGGCCACACGGGAACUGAGACACGGACCAGACUCCUAAGGGAGGCAGCAGUAGGGAAUCUUCCGCAAUGGGCGAAAGCCUGACAAAACAAGGCCGCGUGAGAGAUGAAGGUCUUCGGAUCGUAAAGAUCUGUUAUGAGGGAAGAACAAAUGUGUAAGUAACUAUGCACGGCUUGACGGUACCUAAUCAAAAAGCCACGGCUAACUACGUG
rnacentral:rRNA from 1 species